rnacentral:rRNA from 1 species
GACGAACGCUGGCGGCGUGCCUAAUACAUGCAAGUCGAGCGGACUUUCAAGAAGCUUGCUUUUUGAAAGUUAGCGGCGGACGGGUGAGUAACACGUGGGCAACCUGCCUGCAAGACGGGGAUAACUCCGGGAAACCGGGGCUAAUACCGGAUAAUAUCUUCCUUCGCAUGAAGGAAGGUUGAAAGGCGGCGCAAGCUGCCGCUUGCAGAUGGGCCCGCGGCGCAUUAGCUAGUUGGUGAGGAAACGGCUCACCAAGGCGACGAUGCGGAGCCGACCGGAGAGGGUGCUCGGCCACCCUGGGACUGAGACACGGCCCAGACUCCUACGGGAGGCAGCAGUAGGGAAUCUUCCGCAAUGGACGAAAGUCUGACGGGGCAACGCCGCGUGAGCGAAGGAGGUCUUCGGAUCGUAAAGCUCUGUUGUCAGGGAAGAACAAGUACCGUUCGAACAGGGCGGUACCUUGACGGUACCUGACCAGAAAGCCACGGCUAACUACGUG